AUCAAUCGUUGGAUUGCGGGGGAUACUGCUUGGCUAGGGGACGAGAGAGGCAGACGGUAUUUUCGGGGUAGGGGUGAAAUCCUAUAAUCCCGGGAAGACCACCAGUGGCGAAGGCUGUCUGCUAGAACGAGCCCGACGGUGAGGGAUGAAAGCUGGGGGAGCGAACCGGAUUAGAUACCCGGGUAGUCCCAGCUGUAAACGAUGCAGGCUAGGUGUUUGGGCGGCCACGUGCCGCUCUAGUGCCGCAGGGAAGCUGUUAAGCCUGCCGCCUGGGGAGUACGGUCGCAAGAUUGAAACUUAAAGGAAUUGGCGGGGGAGCACCACAAGGGGUGAAGCUUGCGGUUUAAUUGGAGUCAACGCCGGAAAUCUCACCGGGAGCGACAGCAGUUUGAAGGCCAGAUUAAAGGUCUUGCUAGACGAGCUGAGAGGAGGUGCAUGGCCGUCGCCAGUUCGUGCCGUGAGGUGUCCUGUUAAGUCAGGCAACGAUCGAGACCCGCGUCCUCUGUUGCAACUGGCCUAGAGUCAGGCACACUGAGGAGACCGCCGCUGAUAAAGCGGAGGAAGGAGCGGGCCACGGCAGGUCAGUAUGCCCCGAAUCUCCC
rnacentral:rRNA from 1 species